rnacentral:rRNA from 1 species
AGAGUUUGAUCCCUGGCUCAGGAUGAACGCUAGCGGCAGGCUUAACACAUGCAAGUCGAGGGGCAUCGGGAGGGAAGCUUGCUUUCCUUGCCGGCGACCGGCGCACGGGUGAGUAACACGUAUGCAACCUGCCCUCUUCAGGGGGACAACCUUCCGAAAGGGAGGCUAAUCCCGCGUAUAUCGGUUUCGGGCAUCCGAGAUCGAGGAAAGAUUCAUCGGAAGAGGAUGGGCAUGCGGCGCAUUAGCUAGACGGCGGGGUAACGGCCCACCGUGGCGACGAUGCGUAGGGGUUCUGAGAGGAAGGUCCCCCACACUGGUACUGAGACACGGACCAGACUCCUACGGGAGGCAGCAGUGAGGAAUAUUGGUCAAUGGGAGAGAUCCUGAACCAGCCAAGCCGCGUGAGGGAAGACGGCCCUAUGGGUUGUAAACCUCUUUUGUCGGAGAACAAAACCCGGGACGAGUCCCGGACUGCGUGUAUCCGAGGAAAAAGCAUCGGCUAACUCCGUGCCAGCAGCCGCGGUAAUACGGAGGAUGCGAGCGUUAUCCGGAUUUAUUGGGUUUAAAGGGUGCGUAGGCGGCCCGUUAAGUCAGCGGUAAAAUUGCGGGGCUCAACCCCGUCGAGCCGUUGAAACUGGCAGACUUGAGUUGGCGAGAAGUACGCGGAAUGCGCGGUGUAGCGGUGAAAUGCAUAGAUAUCGCGCAGAACUCCGAUUGCGAAGGCAGCGUACCGGCGCCAGACUGACGCUGAGGCACGAAAGCGUGGGGAUCGAACAGGAUUAGAUACCCUGGUAGUCCACGCAGUAAACGAUGAAUGCU